rnacentral:rRNA from 1 species
GAGAAUCUGCCUUCAGGAGGGGGAUAACGACUGGAAACGGUCGCUAAUACCCCAUAUGCCUCCGGGUGAAAAGUAAUUCGCCUGAAGAUGAGCUCGCGUCAGAUUAGCUAGUUGGGGGGGUAAGAGCCUACCAAGGCGACGAUCUGUAGCUGGUCUGAGAGGAUGAUCAGCCACACUGGGACUGAGACACGGCCCAGACUCCUACGGGAGGCAGCAGUGGGGAAUUUUCCGCAAUGGGCGCAAGCCUGACGGAGCAAGACCGCGUGGGGGAUGACGGCCUAAUGGUUGUAAACCCCUUUUCUCUGGGAAGAAGACUGACGGUACCAGAGGAAUCAGCCUCGGCUAACUCCGUGCCAGCAGCCGCGGUAAUACGGAGGAGGCAAGCGUUAUCCGGAAUUAUUGGCGUAAAGCGUCCGUAGGUGGUUAUUCAAGUCUGCUGUCAAAGCGUGGGGCUUAACUCCAUAGAGGCAGUGGAAACUGAGUGACUAGAGUGCGGUAGGGGUCGAGGGAAUUCCCAGUGUAGCGGUGAAAUGCGUAGAUAUUGGGAAGAACACCAGUGGCGAAAGCGCUCGACUGGGCCUGCACUGACACUGAGGGACGAAAGCUAGGGGAGCGAAAGGGAUUAGAUACCCCUGUAGUCCUAGCCGUAAUCGAUGGAUACUAGGUGUUGCUCGUCAUCGACCCGAGCAGUGCCGUAGCCAACGCGUUAAGUAUCCCGCCUGGGGAGUACGCUUGCAAGAGUGAUAUUCAAAGGAAUUGGCGGGGGCCCGCACUAGCGGUGGAGUAUGUUGUUUAAUUUGAUGGAACGUGAAGAACCUUACCAGGGCUUGACAUGUCCGGAACCUUGCCGAGAGGUGAGGGUGCCUUCGGGAGCCGGAACACAGGUGGUGCAUGGCUGUAGUCAGCUUGUGUCGUGAGAUGUUGGGUUAAGUCCCGCAACGAGCGCAACCCACGUUCUUAGUUGCCAGCAUUGAGUUGGGCACUCUAGGGAGACUGCCGGUGACAAACCGGAGGAAGGUGUGGAUGACGUCAAGUCAGCAUGCCCCUUACGUCCUGGGCUACACACGUACUACAAUGCUGUGGACAAAGGGCAGCCAGCCAGCGAGGGUGAGCUAAUCCCAGAAACCACGGCUCAGUUCAGAUUG